rnacentral:rRNA from 1 species
UACGAAGGCCCCGAGCGUUAUCCGGAUUUAUUGGGCGUAAAGCGUUCAACGGUGGUUUGGUAAGUACCCGGUCAAAUCUCACGGCUCAACCGUGAGGCUGCCGGGUAAACUGCCAGACUUGAGGUUGGAAGAGGCAAGCGGAACUACCGGUGUAGUGGUGAAAUGCGUAGAUAUCCGGAGGAACACCAGUGGCGAAGGCGACUUUCUGGCCUGUUCUUGACGCUGAGGCGCGAAAGCUAGGGGAGCAAACGGG